rnacentral:misc_RNA from 1 species
AAGUCGUAACAAGGUUUCCGUAGGUGAACCUGCGGAAGGAUCAUUAUUGAAUAAACUUGGUGGAUUGUUGCUGGCUCCUUUCAUGAGCAAGUGCACGUCUGUCAUUUUUAUCUUUCCAACAUGUGCACUAUGCAUAGAUCUGAGUAUUUAUUUGACCAAAGUCAUCUUUGGUUUUUUGGAAAUUGCCAUUGCAAUAAUGGCUUUUUCUGUAUUCAGAUUCUAUGAAUUUUAUAUACUCCAAUGUAUGUUUAUGAAUGCUAUUGUGAAGGGCUUUUAUAGCCUAUUAAAUUUAUACAACUUUCAGCAACGGAUCUCUUGGUUCUG